CCUGGUGGCCAUAAAGCGGUGGAACCACCCGUUCCCAUUCCGAACACGGCCGUGAAACGCCGCAUUGCCGAUGGUAGUGGUUGUCUAGCUUCCGCGAGAGUAGGUUGCUGCCAGGG
rnacentral:rRNA from 1 species